UUCAGUCUGUCACACCCCAAAUAAGAAACGACUUGUUCUGCAGUGGAAUUCAUAACGAGUGUACUGCUGUGCUGAUGGCAAAAUACACACAGAGAUGAUUAAGGACUGAUAUCUAUGUAUAGGGGAAGAUAUCAUCUGAUGAGGAACUAACAAUGAUGAGCUAAGUGAUAAUAUGACAGAUUCAAGAUAUCUGAAGACUUCCUGGAAACGAAAAGCAGUUUUGAUGCAGCAGAAAAUAGAGCAUCUCUUCUUCAACCAUUUGCUCUCCAUGGAUAACUCUUAACAGCAAGUUACAGGAAGAAGAGGAGGAGAACAUGUUUAAGAAGCAAGAAGUGAAAGUGGAAUAAUUGCAAUGGAACUUGACUUAUGAUAUAUUGAACCAUCCUGUCCUGCUCCAUCUACAGACAGAGAAACCAGCCUUGGUAAGUUGUGCAAUGGAGACAGUGCAGAACAAAGACAACAGAGAAGCUGUGCAGUUGCUGUGCCCAGCAAUGUUUUUGUAGCUAGUAAAAUUUCACCUUCUUCAGGCCAGGAAAUAUUUAAUAUCAGACACUGUGCUAAUUUGCUGAAGUCUGGUUCAGAAAUGACCUGUUCUUUCCUACCUGCUCCAUCAAGACAACACUACAAGAAUGUGUAAAAAGCUCUUCAAUAGGUUUAGUGGAGGUCAAACUGACUGAUGUUCCCUUGGCACUUUCCCUGAGGUUGCUUGGGCACCUCCCAGUUCACAUAGUGUAAGGUGAUGGCAUUACUUUCCUGAUGUACUUUCUCACCUUAGAGAAACUUGCCACUCAGUGACUUCUGAGCCAGAGGUGACACAUUUGUGUUUUAAUAGCUUUUCCUGGACUGAUAGUUUGGCUGUUUGUCUAUCCACAAUACACUGCAGCAAUGAGUAAGAACAGUUUAUAAACUGAGAAGAAAAAAGUGUAUCUUCUUGCUUUAUUUCUACUGCCAUUUGAUUAUUUAAUGUGUUCCCCUUAGCUGUUGUAUUAUCGAAAACCACAAACACUCACCACAACAUUUGUAACUUUAAAUAUUUCCACCACAUCCCCCUUAGUUAUCUCCUCCUAGGCUGAGAAAUCCCAGUCUAUUUCUAGUUGUUCCAGCACAACUCUUAAAUCAUCCUUUCUGCUCCUUUUGUCUGCUUCCCUUAGACUGGGUACAGGUGAGCUGGGGGGUCAAAAUCAUGGAUGUUAUUCAGGGUGCUUGUACACAUGGGUUCACUGCACAACUGAAUGAUCAUCAUGUUAUAUGUGGAGUCAGGACUGCUUUUGAAAUCUAUGUGCAUCACUUUAUAUUUUUUAGGACCAACUUUCCUUUAACAUUUUAUUACCCAAAUACUUGGUAACAUGAGCUCCUCACAUACAGUUUGUUUUAACAUUCCUGAAAAAAAUCAAACCAACAACCUGCUUUGACACUUUAGUAUCCACCCCUUUACUAAAUAAUUUACAAAUAUGUGAUGAUUUACUAA